UACGUAGGGGGCUAGCGUUGUCCGGAAUCAUUGGGCGUAAAGAGCGCGUAGGCGGCCAGAUAAGUCCGGUGUGAAAGUCACAGGCUCAACCUGUGAAUGCCGCUGGAAACUGUCUGGCUAGAGUCCGGAAGAGGCGAGUGGAAUUCCUGGUGUAGCGGUGAAAUGCGCAGAUAUCAGGAGGAACACCUAUUGCGAAGGCAGCUCGCUGGGACGUAACUGACGCUGAGACGCGAAAGCGUGGGGAGCAAACAGG
rnacentral:rRNA from 1 species